AUGUCGCCCUCGGUCGCCAGGAUUCGCUGUACUGUCUGCAAGACGUUGGUUGCCAUGGUGACGUCCCCACAGACAAACAUGUGGCCCCGCUCGAGGCACAGCACGCGGUGCACUUCAGCAGCUAGCUCAGUCCUCAGGAUGUCCUGCACGUCCUGUGUCCUACCCAGGGCUCUACCUGGCUGAGGGCCUCUAGCUCCUGCUGUUCGCUGGACUCUUCAGCCAGGGUGCUGAGCAGUUGCAGGAGGCGUGGGCUGGGCGGAGAGGUGAUGUCCAGGAAGAAGGUGGCCACAGGAGCCAUCGAGGCUGAGGUCGUUCCUGUGGGUGCACAGCUCUGGUGGCAGGAGGGAGGUUGAGGCCCGUGUAUGCCUUGGUUUCCCCACAGUGACAUCUCUGGAUUCCGGUGGAGGUUCCACCAACUGAUCCCACACCCCCAGUAUCAUGUUCCUAAAGCUUCUGGGGUCUCGUCCUGCUCCGAAACUUCCAGGGGUUCCCUUUGUG